rnacentral:lncRNA from 1 species
GGAAAAGGAGGCACAAGAUGAGCAGGCUUAGGCCUAGGGCGCCAAGAUUUUACCAGAAGGCAGUAUGGGGCAACCCUCUGAACGAACCCAAAUGUCAAGGCCAAGUAGAGGUGAGGGAGAGAAGCUCUAGUGACAAGCACUUUGGGGGCAGUCACUGGGUCUCACACCCCUUGUACCUUAACUGACUCCUUGUGUAAUGCUACAAACGGAUGGAUAUGACCAUACUCUCAAAAGAAGUAACGUAACACACAAGGGCCACACUUCUCAUUCCCACUCUAGUGUUCCUGCUGUGAAAGAGUUGGAGUAAUAUUCUAUGGAGGUGAGGGAUGGGACUUUUCUUUCAUACCUAAUUGUAUUUCUGGAAGACUGCCAGCUUUCCAGACAGACACUUGAUCUGAGUAUUCAUUGACUGCCCUUCGCCGUGGGAAGGUGGGAAAGAAAAAUAAAUCAGGAGUCAGAAACGUAAAA